AAAUUGAAGAGUUUGAUCAUGGCUCAGAUUGAACGCUGGCGGCAGGCCUAACACAUGCAAGUCGAGCGGAAACGAGUUAUCUGAACCUUCGGGGAACGAUAACGGCGUCGAGCGGCGGACGGGUGAGUAAUGCCUAGGAAAUUGCCCUGAUGUGGGGGAUAACCAUUGGAAACGAUGGCUAAUACCGCAUAAUGUCUACGGGCCAAAGAGGGGGACCUUCGGGCCUCUCGCGUCAGGAUAUGCCUAGGUGGGAUUAGCUAGUUGGUGAGGUAAUGGCUCACCAAGGCGACGAUCCCUAGCUGGUCUGAGAGGAUGAUCAGCCACACUGGAACUGAGACACGGUCCAGACUCCUACGGGAGGCAGCAGUGGGGAAUAUUGCACAAUGGGCGCAAGCCUGAUGCAGCCAUGCCGCGUGUGUGAAGAAGGCCUUCGGGUUGUAAAGCACUUUCAGUCGUGAGGAAGGUAGUGUAGUUAAUAGCUGCAUUAUUUGACGUUAGCGACAGAAGAAGCACCGGCUAACUCCGUGCCAGCAGCCGCGGUAAUACGGAGGGUGCGAGCGUUAAUCGGAAUUACUGGGCGUAAAGCGCAUGCAGGUGGUUUGUUAAGUCAGAUGUGAAAGCCCGGGGCUCAACCUCGGAAUAGCAUUUGAAACUGGCAGACUAGAGUACUGUAGAGGGGGGUAGAAUUUCAGGUGUAGCGGUGAAAUGCGUAGAGAUCUGAAGGAAUACCGGUGGCGAAGGCGACCCCCUGGACAGAUACUGACACUCAGAUGCGAAAGCGUGGGGAGCAAACAGGAUUAGAUACCCUGGUAGUCCACGCCGUAAACGAUGUCUACUUGGAGGUUGUGGCCUUGAGCCGUGGCUUUCGGAGCUAACGCGUUAAGUAGACCGCCUGGGGAGUACGGUCGCAAGAUUAAAACUCAAAUGAAUUGACGGGGGCCCGCACAAGCGGUGGAGCAUGUGGUUUAAUUCGAUGCAACGCGAAGAACCUUACCUACUCUUGACAUCCAGAGAACUUUCCAGAGAUGGAUUGGUGCCUUCGGGAACUCUGAGACAGGUGCUGCAUGGCUGUCGUCAGCUCGUGUUGUGAAAUGUUGGGUUAAGUCCCGCAACGAGCGCAACCCUUAUCCUUGUUUGCCAGCGAGUAAUGUCGGGAACUCCAGGGAGACUGCCGGUGAUAAACCGGAGGAAGGUGGGGACGACGUCAAGUCAUCAUGGCCCUUACGAGUAGGGCUACACACGUGCUACAAUGGCGCAUACAGAGGGCAGCAAGCUAGCGAUAGUGAGCGAAUCCCAAAAAGUGCGUCGUAGUCCGGAUUGGAGUCUGCAACUCGACUCCAUGAAGUCGGAAUCGCUAGUAAUCGUGGAUCAGAAUGCCACGGUGAAUACGUUCCCGGGCCUUGUACACACCGCCCGUCACACCAUGGGAGUGGGCUGCAAAAGAAGUAGGUAGUUUAACCUUCGGGAGGACGCUUACCACUUUGUGGUUCAUGACUGGGGUGAAGUCGUAACAAGGUAGCGCUAGGGGAACCUGGCGCUGGAUCACCUCCUUAAACGAUGAU
rnacentral:rRNA from 1 species